UGGAAACAAACAGUUGUGCCUUUUUCC
rnacentral:piRNA from 1 species